GAUGAACGCUGGCGGCGUGCCUAAUACAUGCCAGUCGAGCGAACGGACGAGAAGCUUGCUUCUCUGAUGUUAGCGGCGGACGGGUGAGUAACACGUGGAUAACCUACCUAUAAGACUGGGAUAACUUCGGGAAACCGGAGCUAAUACCGGAUAAUAUUUUGAACCGCAUGGUUCAAAAGUGAAAGACGGUCUUGCUGUCACUUAUAGAUGGAUCCGCGCUGCAUUAGCUAGUUGGUAAGGUAACGGCUUACCAAGGCAACGAUGCAUAGCCGACCUGAGAGGGUGAUCGGCCACACUGGAACUGAGACACGGUCCAGACUCCUACGGGAGGCAGCAGUAGGGAAUCUUCCGCAAUGGGCGAAAGCCUGACGGAGCAACGCCGCGUGAGUGAUGAAGGUCUUCGGAUCGUAAAACUCUGUUAUUAGGGAAGAACAUGUGUGUAAGUAACUGUGCACAUCUUGACGGUACCUAAUCAGAAAGCCACGGCUAACUACGUG
rnacentral:rRNA from 1 species